rnacentral:snRNA from 1 species
UGUCCCUUAGGGUAAAUCUGGUAAAUUUGAAACCAUAAACAGAGAAAAUUAGCUCGGCCAUUGCACAAAAAUGACGCCGGACAACCUAUGAGGAAAUCAAAACCUCG